rnacentral:tRNA from 2 species
GGAGAGAUAGCGAAGUGGCUAAACGCGGCAGACUGUAAAUCUGCUCCUUCGGGUUCAAUGGUUCGAAUCCAUUUCUCUCCACCA